rnacentral:rRNA from 1 species
GAUGAACGCUAGCGGCAGGCUUAAUACAUGCAAGUCGAGGGGCAGCAUGAUUGUAGCAAUACAAUUGAUGGCGACCGGCAAACGGGUGCGGAACACGUACACAACCUUCCAACAAGUGGGGGAUAGCCCAGAGAAAUUUGGAUUAAUACCCUGUAACAUAGCGAUGAGGCAUCACAUUGCUAUUAUAGAUUUUUCGCUUGUUGAUGGGUGUGCGGCUGAUUAGAUAGUUGGCGGGGUAACGGCCCACCAAGUCUAAGAUCAGUAGCUGAUGUGAGCGCAUGGUCAGCCACACGGGCACUGAGACACGGGCCCGACUCCUACGGGAGGCAGCAGUAAGGAAUAUUGGACAAUGGACGCAAGUCUGAUCCAGCCAUGCCGCGUGAAGGAUUAAAGUCCUCUGGAUUGUAAACUUCUUUUAUAAGGGACGAAAAAAGGCUUUUCUAGGUCGUCUGACGGUACCUUAUGAAUAAGCACCGGCUAACUCCGUGCCAGCCGCCGCUGUAACAC